rnacentral:misc_RNA from 1 species
UGGUUCGAGCAUCGAUGAAGAACGCAGCGAAAUGCGAUAAUUAAUGUGAAUUGCAGAAUCCAGUGAAUCAUCGAGUUUUUGAACGCAUAUUGCACCUUUUGGUAUUCCGAAAGGUAUGCUUGUUUGAGCGUCAUUACAUCUUCAGCCGCAGCUGGUUUUGUAUUGUCAGUGACGAUAUCAAAUUGAUUACCUUUGUUGGAGCAGUACACUACCUCCACACAUCGAUUCUCAUUCUUGACCUCAAAUCAAGCAAGAUUACCCGCUGA